rnacentral:rRNA from 1 species
UACGAAGGGGGCUAGCGUUGCUCGGAAUCACUGGGCGUAAAGGGUGCGUAGGCGGGUCUUUAAGUCAGGGGUGAAAUCCUGGAGCUCAACUCCAGAACUGCCUUUGAUACUGAGGAUCUUGAGUUCGGGAGAGGUGAGUGGAACUGCGAGUGUAGAGGUGAAAUUCGUAGAUAUUCGCAAGAACACCAGUGGCGAAAGCGGCUCACUGGCCCGAUACUGACGCUGAGGCGCGAAAGCGUGGGGAGCAAACAGGG